rnacentral:rRNA from 1 species
AGUGAACGCUGGCGGUAGGCCUAAUACAUGCAAGUCGAACGGCAGCACAGUGGGGGCUUGCCCUUAGGGGGGGCGAGUGGGGGGGGUGUGGGGUAUACGGCAGUCUGUACAGUUGCGGGGGGGAUAGCGUGGGAACACUUGCGAAUAUACCACGUGCCCUCUGGGGGUAAACGGGGGAGCUUUUGGGCCCUUGCGCGUUUGAGUGCCCAUGUUGGGUUAGCUCGUUGGCGGGGUAAAGGCCCACCAAGGCGACGAUCGAUAGCUGGUCUGAGAGGAUGAUCAGCCACACUGGAACUGAGACACGGCCCAGACUCCUACGGGAGGCAGCAGUGGGGAAUAUUGGACAAUGGGCGCAAGCCUGAUCCAGCCAUACCGCGUGAGUGAAGAAGGCCCUCGGGUUGUAAAGCUCUUUUGUUGGGAAAGAAAAGCAGCAGGCUAAUACCUCGCUGUUCUGACGGUACCCAAAGAAUAAGCACCGGCUAACUUCGUG